AAGCCUCAGUGUGCCUUUCUCAUCACACGCGGAAGCGGACCUUGCCCGCCACUUCCUGACUACACGUACUCAAUUGCGAGGGCGGAUUCGGAAGGAGCUCUACGUUAAUGGCCGCAUGAUGGUUCUCCGAUUGACUGCUGAAGACCCUGGCCUGCUCCAGAGGUCCAUCGGUUUCUGUCUGGAGCAGCUUUCCCUGGUGAUACGGUCCUUGCAGCACUAUGGGGCCCCCGUUUCUCGGCACGGAAGAGGGGUUUAAACCUACCCUGUGUGCCGUAGCUUCAGGUGUCGUUCCCCAGGGCAUUGCUUUCUGCAGUACUUUGAUCGGGCUUCAUCUUACGUCUGUGCUGCUUUGGGGGGCUCAGUGUCUACAUAGUUGUUUGGUGAUUGUUACCUGCAGAAAAUAAAACUGAGCUUUUGUGCUGUCUCUGACUUUA
ensembl:lncRNA